GGGUCGUUAGCUCAGUUGGUAGAGCAGUUGACUUUUAAUCAAUUGGUCGCAGGUUCGAAACCGAAGCGAGUCAUCCUGCACGACACACCA
rnacentral:tRNA from 1 species